GCUACUGUGGCUCAGUCGGUAGAGCAGCUGAUUCGUAAUCAGCAGGUCGCAGGUUCAAAUCCUGUCAGUAGCUCCA
rnacentral:tRNA from 1 species